rnacentral:rRNA from 1 species
GCAGUCAGAGGCGAUGAAGGACGUGCUAAUCUGCGAAAAGCGUCGGUAAGGUGAUAUGAACCGUUAUAACCGGCGAUGUCCGAAUGGGGAAACCCAGUGCAAUUCGUUGCACUAUCGUUAACUGAAUACAUAGGUUAACGAGGCGAACCGGGGGAACUGAAACAUCUAAGUACCCCGAGGAAAAGAAAUCAACCGAGAUUCCCCCAGUAGCGGCGAGCGAACGGGGAGCAGCCCAGAGUCUGAAUCAGCUUGUGUGUUAGUGGAACGGUCUGGAAAGUCCGACGGUACAGGGUGAUAGUCCCGUACACCAAAAUGCACAGGCUGUGAACUCGAAGAGUAGGGCGGGACACGUGGUAUCCUGUCUGAAUAUGGGGGG